AGCUUCCUGCCGUGGCAGCCUCGCAGCCAAUGAGGUUUAUCCCAGGCGCGAUUAUUGCUAACUGAAAACUUUUCCCAAUAGAAUAUAAGCUCCGGGUAGGAAUUUUUGUCAGUUUUGUUUACUGCUGUAUCCCUAACACCUAGAA
ensembl:snRNA U4 U4 spliceosomal RNA